rnacentral:rRNA from 1 species
CCUACGGGUGGCAGCAGUGAGGAAUAUUGGUCAAUGGACGAGACUCUGAACCAGCGAAGUAGCGUGAAGGAUGACUGCCCUAUGGGUUGUAAACUUCUUUUAUAUGGGAAUAAAAUGUUCCACGUGUGGGAUUUUGUAUGUCUCAUAUGAAUAAGGAUCGGCUAACUCCGUGCCAGCAGCAGCGGUAAUACGGAGGAACCGAGCGUUAACCGGAUUUAUUGGGUUUAAAGGGAGCGUAGGUGGAUUGUUAAGUCAGUUGUGAAAGUUUGCGGCUCAACCGUAAAAUUGCAGUUGAAACUGGCAGUCUUGAGUGCAGUAGAGGUGAGCGGAAUUCGUGGUGUAGCGGUGAAAUGCUUAGAUAUCACGAAGAACUCCGAUGGCGAAGGCGGCUCACUGGACUGCAACUGACGCUGAGGCUCGAAAGUGUGGGUAUCAAACAGGAUUAGAUACCCGAGUAGUC